rnacentral:lncRNA from 1 species
ACAGUGGUAAAAUGAUAUUUGGUUUCAACUUUUUAGGGACCAAAGAAAUAAUGGUGGUGGUGGUUUAGUUGCUAAGUUGUAUAGAUUCUUGCAACCCCAUGGUAGCCUGCCAGGCUCCUCUGUCCAUGGGAUUCUCCAGAGAAGAAUACAAGAGUGGGUACCAUUUCCUUCUCCAGGAGAUCUUCUUGACCCAAGAAUUCAACCUGAGUCUCCUGCAUGGAGGCAGAUUCUUUACCAACUGAGCUACAACGGAAGCCUCAAUAAAAAGAAAUAAUACCUAGAAGGAAAUGGCCCAGGCAGAAAGAAUUAAAGAGAUGGCAGCACCCUGGCAAAGAAAGGAAGAAAAAGAAGAAAAGGAGAAGAAAGGAAAGAAGGAAACAAGAGAGAGAAAAAAGGAUGGGGAAGAACUUUUUUUUUACUUUGAAUAUCCUGUGCAUUUAGCCAUUAUUGGAAAAGGAAUGAAGCAGAGCAAAGGCUAAUAGAGUU